rnacentral:rRNA from 1 species
GUGAGGAAUAUUGCGCAAUGGAGGCAACUCUGACGCAGCCAUGCCGCGUGCAGGAAGAAGGCGCUACGCGUUGUAAACUGCUUUUAACCGGGAAGAAACCCCAGGACGUGUCCUGGGUUGACGGUACCGGAGGAAUAAGCACCGGCUAACUUCGUGCCAGCAGCCGCGGUAAUACGAAGGGUGCAAGCGUUAUCCGGAUUCAUUGGGUUUAAAGGGUGCGUAGGCGGAGCGUUAAGUCAGUGGUGAAAUCCUGCAGCUUAACUGUAGACUUGCCAUUGAUACUGGCGCUCUUGAGUGCGCUUGAAGUGGGCGGAAUGUGCCGUGUAGCGGUGAAAUGCUUAGAUAUGGCACAGAACACCAAUUGCGAAGGCAGCUUGCUGAACCAUUAUUGACGCUGAGGCACGAAAGCGUGGGGAGCGAACAGGAUUAGAUACCCUAGUAGUCC